UAACCGCUAUUAGCUCAUAGUUCCUGGGAGUUAGGAAAUCAGGCACCGCCUGUGUGCCUCAGGCUCAUAUUCCUGGCUCUUGGCAGGCCUCUUCACUGGCUGUUGCCUGGAGACACCAGCUCCUUGCCACAUGUCCCUCCUGGCAGGGCUGUUCACAACUGGCAACUUGCUUCCCUCAGGGCUGAAGGUUUAAGAAAAAAGAGCAAGGAAGCACCUCCAAGCAGGAAGCUACAGUCUUUGCGAAACCCAGCGUUGGGAGCAACAUCCUAUCACAUCUGCCAUAUUCCACUCAUUGGAAGAGAGUCACUCAGCACAGCCUACGUUCAAAAAGAGAGAAUGUCACAAGUGUGCAAAUGCCAGGAGGAAAAGCUUAAGACCAACGAAUGGAAUAACUUAGAUUUGCCAAAGCACUGCACCCUUCGACCUGCAGACCUACACCGCUGGACCCUCAAUAUAUUUUUAGACGUUUCGGGAUCUAGCAACUUUCUCAAGUUCAUCGCUCCUUCAGGUUGAAAUGCUUGCCACGAGUUAAAGGAGUCCAGAGAGCAAAUAAAGAAAGGACUUUCUUUAUUUAUUAUUCCAAGUUCUAUCAUAAGUUUCUUUAUUUAUUAUUGCAAGUUCUAUCAUAAUCCACGAAUUAGCUACGGGAGACCCAGAGAGGCUCUCAGACGACUGCGUUAUCACUUCAGUCAGGCCCUCUAGGUAAACCCAAUGGCCUGCAUCCCAGUCAGCACAGAGGGAUUAUCCAGCUGUCACCUCUCUCCCAACUGAACGUGUCACAGCUCAACCGCCACAUGGCGGCUCUCAUUGAUUUGUGUAUUGCUCCUGUGGAGGAAACUUCGGCAUUACCUACGGUCUUCAGAUACUCACCUGCAUUCCUUUAACACUAACACAUUGUGAGCUCUUAAUAAAUGUUUAAGAACUGCCCUGCAAUUUUUUUUUCUGCCCUGCAAUUUUAUGAACACAUGGAUGGUUUGAGCUUUGGAUUUUUCAUCUUUAUAUUGAUUGCAACCAGCUGGUAACAUAAGUGACAAAAUUCUAAGAGACAAGUUGCUUGUUCACAAUAUACUUCAUUCAGCAAAAAGAGAAGAAGGUAUAAAUUUUUCAAGAUGAGUAUUCCUUAUGGGAUUUCCAGAUCACUAGCACCUACACUUCGGGGAUUAUUCUUUGAACCACACUUUUGUUUUUCGCUUGCCCAUGAGGCGGUCUGAAAAUCCACUUUGUGCUGGAGAGCAUUCUCAUCAUAGAAGUUAGAUAAAAAUAUUUUUCACGCUUGCAUGUCUAGGCAUCUGUAUUUAACAGCCCCUCACGGACCACUAGUACGGUGAAGGAGGAAAAAAUGUAUUUCUCUUUAGAGAAUGAUAAUAAUAUUAGCAAAGAAUUUGAUGUGAUUGCACCUCUUGUGAUAAUCCACAUUUCUGUAUUUCCAGUACUUCUAUAACUAAUGCACCAAGUACUAUUUGAAAAAUUGUGUGAUUUAUACUCAGUAAA